rnacentral:rRNA from 1 species
CCCUUUGGGGUGUGACUGCGUACCUUUUGUAUAAUGGGUCAGCGACUUAUAUUCUGUAGCAAGGUUAACCGUAUAGGGGAGCCGUAGGGAAACCGAGUCUUAACCGGGCGUUAAGUUGCAGGGUAUAGACCCGAAACCCGGUGAUCUAGCCAUGGGCAGGUUGAAGGUUGGGUAACACUAACUGGAGGACCGAACCGACUAAUGUUGAAAAAUUAGCGGAUGACCUGUGGCUGGGGGUGAAAGGCCAAUCAAACCGGGAGAUAGCUGGUUCUCCCCGAAAGCUAUUUAGGUAGCGCCUCGUGAAUUCAUCUCCGGGGGUAGAGCACUGUUUCGGCUAGGGGGCCAUCCCGGCUUACCAACCCGAUGCAAACUGCGAAUACCGGAGAAUGUUAUCACGGGAGACACACGGCGGGUGCUAACGUCCGUCGUGAAGAGGGAAACAACCCAGACCGCCAGCUAAGGUCCCAAAGUCAUGGUUAAGUGGGAAACGAUGUGGGAAGGCCCAGACAGCCAGGAUGUUGGCUUAGAAGCAGCCAUCAUUUAAAGAAAGCGUAAUAGCUCACUGGUCGAGUCGGCCUGCGCGGAAGAUGUAACGGGGCUAAACCAUGCACCGAAGCUGCGGCAGCGACACUGUGUGUUGUUGGGUAGGGGAGCGUUCUGUAAGCCUGUGAAGGUGUGUCGUGAGGCAUGCUGGAGGUAUCAGAAGUGCGAAUGCUGACAUAAGUAACGAUAAAGCGGGUGAAAAGCCCGCUCGCCGGAAGACCAAGGGUUCCUGUCCAACGUUAAUCGGGGCAGGGUGAGUCGACCCCUAAGGCGAGGCCGAAAGGCGUAGUCGAUGGGAAACGGGUUAAUAUUCCCGUACUUGGUGUUACUGCGAAGGGGGGACGGAGAAGGCUAUGUUGGCCGGGCGACGGUUGUCCCGGUUUAAGCGUGUAGGUGUGUGUUCCAGGUAAAUCCGGUUCACUUUAACACUGAGGCGUGACGACGAGGCACUACGGUGCUGAAGCAACAAAUGCCCUGCUUCCAGGAAAAGCCUCUAAGCAUCAGGUAACAUCAAAUCGUACCCCAAACCGACACAGGUGGUCAGGUAGAGAAUACCAAGGCGCUUGAGAGAACUCGGGUGAAGGAACUAGGCAAAAUGGUGCCGUAACUUCGGGAGAAGGCACGCUGACACGUAGGUGAAGUGAUUUACUCAUGGAGCUGAAGUCAGUCGAAGAUACCAGCUGGCUGCAACUGUUUAUUAAAAACACAGCACUGUGCAAACACGAAAGUGGACGUAUACGGUGUGACGCCUGCCCGGUGCCGGAAGGUUAAUUGAUGGGGUCAGCGCAAGCGAAGCUCCUGAUCGAAGCCCCGGUAAACGGCGGCCGUAACUAUAACGGUCCUAAGGUAGCGAAAUUCCUUGUCGGGUAAGUUCCGACCUGCACGAAUGGCGUAAUGAUGGCCAGGCUGUCUCCACCCGAGACUCAGUGAAAUUGAACUCGCUGUGAAGAUGCAGUGUACCCGCGGCAAGACGGAAAGACCCCGUGAACCUUUACUAUAGCUUGACACUGAACAUUGAGCCUUGAUGUGUAG